UUUAACAACAGGAGUGAGAGAGCUCCCGGCGAGAAUUCCAAUAGAGCACAGAGCUUACAAGCGAGAGUUUGUCGGCAAGCAUGUUGUCCAGAAAGAACCAGCAGAGUUACACAGGGGCUUUGCGAGGGUCACUGUUGUUGGAGUUGAAGAGAAGGCAGCGCAAGCAAAACAGGGAGUUGUUCGGAGUCUUUAGAGAUUUCAGUAGUGGUUCUGGGAGUAUUGGAGAAGAAGAAAGGGAUCUAAGUUGCUGCAGGGAGCAGCCAGUGAACUUCCACCUUUUUUCGGGAGUUUUCCAAUGGCUUUCCACCGUCCCCAGAAGAAGAUGGGAAAGUCUGCCAGUGAGUUUUCCGACAAGUGGAAGUGGUUUCCCGACAGGAAUCCGAGAGGUCCUCUUCCUCCCACAUUCGCUUUGCCCUAUCCAAACCCAAAAGAUCGUGAUUGAUCAUGCAAGUACUUAAUCUGAAUCGGUGCCGACUCUAGGUGCUGGGCUUAGGGGGCCCACCUAAGGUUCUAUGUUUCUUUUGUUUUCUUUGACUCUAUGUAUGUUAUCCAUAUUUUCCUUUGCUUCUUUAUUAAUGAGUAUUCAUCACCAUCAUUAAGCUCCCUCUCAUUCAGACCCUCCAUUAACGCUUACAUUCUCCUCUCUUCUCCCUUUACUUCCAAUCAUAAGCAUUAAUAAAGUUUAUCCAUAUUUAUCUUUUAAUGUUUCUAUAGUUAUUCAUAGGCAUGUUUUGAAGUUUUCUUAGAAUAGUUCAGUUUGCUUCGAUUUGUUUGAUUUCAUUAUCAUUUCUCUAUUUCUAAAAGAUAUUCACUAAAGCCCUCCCUUUUUCCAUUAAACCUUUUUAAAAGGCUUCUCACAAACUCUAAGGCUAAGGUGCACGAAAAUCCGGUAUUGCCGAUGAUCUGAGCGAGAUACGACCUUGUGGGGUCCAAUUCUCUAUCUGAAAACAAUUUGAUGGGAGCUUUUUCUUUAUUAACUCUUCAACACGUUUGCACCUAAAACCAAGGCGGGGAACCAAAUUUUCUGCCUGCAUUUUUUAGUAUAAACACUUUUUUAAUUAGAGUCUUUAGUGCUUCUCAAGGUUAUUAAGGUUUCUAUGUUCUUUGAGUUCAAAUCACUCAUGGAUAUGUCAUAGGAUCGAGCCUUUAUGGGAGUGGAAUUUCCCUGAAAGUUUCGUACUCCAUUCUUUCAAAGAGAGUUUAAGAUGCCAAAUCUUACAUUGGUGGCGAAAGCAAGCCCUUCUCGAAACAAGCGUAGCGAAAGAGUUCCACCAAAGAGGAACCGGGUUGAGGAAGGUUGCCUUCUCGAGUGAUGCCAUCUCGAAUAAGAAAGGUUUAGGAUCCCUAGAGAUGAGUUGGGUAUUGAUUGGGAUUUUAUAAUGAUUUUAAAAUAGGUUUGGGAAGGGCAGAGAUUGGAGCCUGGAAAUGAGGCAUCCCAUCAGUGCUAAGCAAACAGCGGUUGAGUUUGGAAAGAGAGGGGGUGGCGGAGUGGUUGGACCAGUUGUAGUUGGCCCCUUCCAAGUGAGUGGAUGUCUACGAGCUUGUGUCUAGAAAUGAAGUUCAAGAACUAGGUCGUUACUAUGAUCAAUCUAGAGAGGGAAUUACGUUUGAACGACCACCUUGUGAUGUUAAAACCCCCUCCUAAGCACCACCUAAAGGGGGAAUGUAUGCUGCAAGAUCUAGUUCAACCCAAAACUGUUCAUUAAGACUUUCAGAGUUGGGGUCAUAGACUGUCAUGAACUUCCAAAAGAGGCCAUCUGAGAUUCUCAAAAGGACUACAAUCACUGAGAAGGAGGCUACAUGUGAGAAGGAGAGGGAGUGAAGGGAGGGAUACCAAAUGAUCUAGAUGCCUCUCCAGGCUCCCACUAUAGGGAAGACUUCUCAUUGGCAGGGUCUUUGAGCCCAGACCUGUCUAACCAGUUGGAGAGAGGGUGAUGGAAGUUUGGUUUCUAAGGGUGAGGAUUGUAAGGGAAUGGUACCCAAGGCUCUGGAUAUUACAAGAGAGGAUUAGCAUGAGGGGGAGAGCGGACACGCGCCUAGGAGAGCAUCGAAGAGAGGAUCCUUCUAGUGAAGCAAAGGCCAUAGGCAAGGCAUCCGAAGGGUUGCCGGUCAUAGCUGAUGUCAAAAGUAAGGUUGCAGAUUUCUCUAGUACCUCUGCCUUUAACCUUGGAACAAGAUCGAGCAUCUGCCUUUAGGAAAGCAUGAAGACCAUCUUGUGGGCCAUCAUAGGGGAACCCAUCACUUUGAGAACUUGGGUCAAUUUUUCUUAAGCGUAGUCCAUUUCUUCUAUAAAUUUGGAGUCCACCAACUUAGGUGAAGAUGAUGAAGCUUCGAAGAAGGAGUUGUAUGAGUCACUAAUAAGGGGGAUGGGGCAAGAGAGAGGGACCAAGGUGAGUGGGGUGUGGCUGGAUGCGUGCUAGCUGAGUAGGAGAGGGGACAGUGGGUCGAAGCACUGGAAGUAACAAGGAAGGGGAGGGGGACAACAUUGGCCAUGGAGGAAAGGAGAGUGGCGGUGGCGGUAGAAAAGAAGUGGGAAAAGAGCAAAGGACUGAAAGGUGACAAAUGGAAGAAACCCUAAGGGGAGGUAGAGAGGGGAAAUGCAAAGCGGGGAGGGAGAGAGGGCAGAGGGGGGAAAAGGGAUCAUAGAGAAGGUGGUGGGGAGAUGCUGGGAUUAAGGUAAGGAGACGGAGUCAAAAAAGGAGUUCUGGAGAGCAUUUGGGGAUGAUGAGAGUGACUUGCAGCCAAGGAUAGGAGAGAUGAUAUCUUCAAAGUUUGACACCUCUGGAUGUUCAACCACCAAAGAAAGGCCCUCAGGGGAUUCAAUGGAGAGGUCCACCAAGUGGGAGCUAGCUGUAAUGGAGGGCAAAGGUAUGGGAGCAGAGAAGAGUCUUGCACAAACAGGAGAGGGAUUAAGUGAAGAAGCAGGUGGGUGGGAGCACAAAGAGGGAGAAAGGAAGGGGUUUAGAAGAGGAGGAUGGGGAAGAAGGAAGUGAGAGGAAAGAGUGAAGGGCCAAAUGAAGAGAAAGCAGGUGCAGGUGCAGGUGUAGGCUAGCUAGAAUCAUCGAGUUGCGAUGUGGCCAUUUGGUGCAAGGACAGACAAAGGAGGGAAAAGAGCAACCAUGAGGGCACUCUUGAGUAGAAGGAAAGGGGAAGAUGAUUCUUCUUUUAGUGAGUUUUCCUAAGGUUUUUUGCCCAAUUUCUCGAUUCCACAGGCAUCAUCUCGUCAGGUUUGGAAAGAACUGACUAAAGCCAAGGAGAGCUUAGUGUUCAAAGAGGGGUGGGUCUUGUCGACCAGGAAUGAGGAAAGGGAAGGAUAACGGAUAAGCAGAAGAGUGGGAUGGGAGAACAAAAGAUGGAGCCGAGACUGAUGUUUGAUGUUUUGCUCCAAUACUAUUUGAUGUUUUUUAUGGCCUUGCCACAAUGAGAUAUACAAAUAUUCCAAUUUCAUAUUGAA